CGAUAAAAAGAAUCCGAUCCAAAAAGGCACACAAUCCGACGUCGCUGUUUGUUUGUUUGCCCCGCCGCUGUCAGUGGUGGCACGAAGCCGCUGUCAGUGUCACUGCGGCCUUCGUCGCGUCUGCGCCCUUGGUGGCAAAGGAAAAGUUUUGAAAGUACCACGCAAUCACAAUUGCGGAACUCCCGCACACCGACUCAAUGCCGCCGCCGUCGUCGUCGUGCCACCUUUGCGUGUGUUUGGCGGCAUAAUUUUCCGCGAGAGAGACAACAGCAGCAGCACGCUCGCUCUCUACCAGGCGCAUGCGACGGCCUCGACGACCAUCGUGCGAGGGCUCUCCCUGCCGCUCGGGAUGCUCCCCUGGUCGAGCGCGAAAUUGAAAUUGAUCACUCCAGAAUCGACCGCGCGCACACGCACGACGCGCGACCACUGCGGAAACGCUUUCUUCGCCGAGCCAGCUAGACUAACCGCCGACCUGCCGCGGUGGCUGCGCUCCUGGCCAUAAAAGGAACCUAGAACGGCACAGUCUCGGUGCGCGAAACUGCGAAACUCUCUUCUCGGGCCCCCAGGGUCGGGGUGAACUGGCGAAGCGCCCGGUUGCCAGCAGCUCGUGGCAGGACGCGUUCGAGGGCAAUCUUUUACGGUUUAUGCGGUUCCGGUGAAGUUGUAGCGUGAAAGUUAGAUGUUAAAAAAUCAACAAAAACCAGCAUUAUUAAUUAGCGAUCGGAAGUAUCCGAAUAAUGGCCAUAACAUAAACAAACCGAGCGCACACGACCCCCGAACAGACUCGUCGCAACAUCGUUUGGCCGCACUGCCAUCACCAGCACCCAUGAAGCAAUCGCCGCAGCCUGCCUUGUCAAUCAGCUCCGUGCAAUCGGAAAUGGAUGGAAAAAUGGCGCGAAACCGGCUGCUCGCCUGCUGCCUACCUGCUAAAUCGCUGACAGCCGCAUACUUUUUCUGCCCGAAUCCUGCCUGCGUUGUACGAGUGUGAUGCGACGAUGCCGCGCGCAACCACGUGUGCUGGCCGAGAGAGAGCUGCGUCAGGGCAAAAUUACGGCAACACCGCACAGCGGCUCGAGAAGGCCCCCGCGGGUGCGCACCUCUGCCGGGCAUGGGCGCCCGGUCGUUGGGGACUCGUUGUUGAUGGCGUAACAUUUUCGCUCUUUCUCUACACACCACGUCACGUCGGGCGGCAUCGAUCGCGUCGGCCCGUUCGACUACGCGCGCAAAUUCGUGGGGCGCAUGGAGCACUGCCUAAUGGAAAAACGCAGCUCCUCCUCUGCAUGCUGUUCAGGUUUAGCGAGCGGAUUACACAAAGCGAUAAGAAUAGCGUUACCAUUGGCAGAUUACUCCACAUUACAUCGUUACACCGACGCUAUCCAGGUUGAGCACACCGGGCGAUAAGAUAACAAAAGCUGACUGACGCGUUGUACUCGAUAACAGAAAGACUGCUGUGCGACAAAUCUUGCAUAAAAUCUCCCACUCACUCAAACACACCAAAAGCAGCUCCACUAGAGAGCAACGCACAUAAUUUGCAUCAUAAAGCACAACUUAACCAUAGGCAAGAUGUUUAUUCAGGAGCAAUUUCCCCAUUAUUUACAUUCCCUUGCGCAGUUGCCGACCCCAGCGCUAGCCCUAGCUUCAUCCAUUGUCCCGUCGACCCAUAGAAUGCGUUAAAAAAAUGACAAAUAAAUAUAACAAACAAGGAAAUCAA